ACACGGACCAUCCUCUACUUGGCCCGCAAGGAUGGGUUGCUGAGCGGAAUCCCAAAAGCGCUCUUUCUCACCUCGAAUUUUCAUUUUUAGAUUGUAAAAAAUCCGAAUUUGGAGACAGGCAGAUAUUUUUCACACAUCAAAAAGCAGGACCAUCAGCUAGGUGAUUAGCCCCAGGUGGGAAAUGAGCCAUCUCUAAUGAGAAUACUGACUUUUUGAAGAAGUCUGUGGAAGUUCUGAAGUCCUACCCCAGCCCCAUGACCUUUCGUUCUUUUAGUUCUUCUGCCACAGGGAAGCAGCCAGCGACUAAUGAAAGAUUUGAUCUUGCAAUAAUUUCCCAAGCAGUGUGAAACAAUUUUGCAAUAGAAGACACCAUAGUUUUUACGUAGCUGUAACACGGAAAGAAACCUACUUUAAGACAACAUUUUUAAAGUUGCAUUUCACGAAGGGUUACCAAGAAAAAACAAGCUCAGGGAAGAAUUAGUCUGCUUGCAAGCAAAAAAGAAGAAGAGUCCAGGAAUUCAAGGUCUUUUAGGGUUGGAAAACCAAACCACUUCUAGAGGUUGAACUAAAAGACUUUGAGUGACAACGCACAAUGUGGCUAAGGAGAGUAAUGACAAGGAGGAGGUUCCAAGAGGUCAUAGCCUGGGGCUACAGAGAAGAAAUGACAAGAUCACUUGCCCAUGAGGAGCCACAUAUGAACCUGAAGGAGAGGACAGUGAUCCUGGUCCUGAGAUGGAUGCAGUGAAUGGAGGCAUAUCAGAUUACUAUCUUUGGAGAGGAGGUUGAUGAAAAAUAAAGAAAGGGAAGAAGGAAGAAAAGAAGGAUUUAUACCUAUGUCCCAGGUGUUGGCUGACUUCUUUGCCUCUUGCUCAAAGAGGACAUAGAUAUUCUUUUUUUUCUUUUUAAAGAUUUUAUUUUUUUUCCUUUUUCUCCCCAAAGCCCCCCGGUACAUAGUUGUAUAUUCUUCGUUGUGGGUCCUUCUAGGUGUGGCAUGUGGGAC